CAGUAGCCGCGGUAAUACGUAGGUGACAAGCGUUGUCCGGAAUUAUUGGGCGUAAAGGGCUCGCAGGCGGUUUCUUAAGUCUGAUGUGAAAGCCCCCGGCUCAACCGGGGAGGGUCAUUGGAAACUGGGAAACUUGAGUGCAGAAGAGGAGAGUGGAAUUCCACGUGUAGCGGUGAAAUGCGUAGAGAUGUGGAGGAACACCAGUGGCGAAGGCGACUCUCUGGUCUGUAACUGACGCUGAGGAGCGAAAGCGUGGGGAGCGAACAGGAUUAGAUACCCCUGUAGUCCCUGUCUCUUAUAC
rnacentral:rRNA from 1 species